rnacentral:rRNA from 1 species
GAGCUUGCUCUCUUGAAGUUAGUGGCGAACGGGUGAGUAACGCGUAAUCAACCUGCCCUUCAGAGGGGGAUAACAACGGGAAACCGUUGCUAAUACCGCGUACGAUUCACAGGCGGCAUCGCUUGUGAAUGAAAGGUGGCCUCUAUGUAUAAGCUAUCGCUGAAGGAGGGGAUUGCGUCUGAUUAGCUAGUUGGAGGGGUAACGGCCCACCAAGGCAAUGAUCAGUAGCCGGUCUGAGAGGAUGAACGGCCACAUUGGGACUGAGACACGGCCCAAACUCCUACGGGAGGCAGCAGUGGGGAAUCUUCCGCAAUGGACGAAAGUCUGACGGAGCAACGCCGCGUGAGUGAUGAAGGUCUUCGGAUUGUAAAGCUCUGUUAAUCGGGACGAAAGAGUUCUGUGUGAAUAAUGCAGAAAAGUGACGGUACCGGAAUAGAAAGCCACGGCUAACUACGUGCCAGCAGCCGCGGUAAUACGUAGGUGGCAAGCGUUGUCCGGAAUUAUUGGGCGUAAAGCGCGCGCAGGCGGCCUAUCCAGUCUGUCUUAAAAGUUCGGGGCUCAACCCCGUGAUGGGAUGGAAACUAGUAGGCUAGAGUAUCGGAGAGGAAACGCGGAAUUCCUAGUGUAGCGGUGAAAUGCGUAGAUAUUAGGNAGACACCAGUGGCGAAGGCGGCUUUCUGGACGGAAACUGACGCUGAGGCGCGAAAGCCAGGGGAGCGAACGGGAUUAGAUACCCCGGUAGUCCUGGCCGUAAACGAUGGGU